GUGGCGAACGGGUGAGUAACACGUGAGUAACCUGCCCUUGACUCUGGGAUAAGCCUGGGAAACUGGGUCUAAUACCGGAUAUGACCUUCCAUCGCAUGGUGGUUGGUGGAAAGCUUUUGUGGUUUUGGAUGGACUCGCGGCCUAUCAGCUUGUUGGUGGGGUAAUGGCCUACCAAGGCGACGACGGGUAGCCGGCCUGAGAGGGUGACCGGCCACACUGGGACUGAGACACGGCCCAGACUCCUACGGGAGGCAGCAGUGGGGAAUAUUGCACAAUGGGCGAAAGCCUGAUGCAGCGACGCCGCGUGAGGGAUGACGGCCUUCGGGUUGUAAACCUCUUUCAGUAGGGAAGAAGCGUAAGUGACGGUACCUGCAGAAGAAGCGCCGGCUAACUACGUGCCAGCAGCCGCGGUAAUACGUAGGGCGCAAGCGUUAUCCGGAAUUAUUGGGCGUAAAGAGCUCGUAGGCGGUUUGUCGCGUCUGCCGUGAAAGUCCGGGGCUCAACUCCGGAUCUGCGGUGGGUACGGGCAGACUAGAGUGAUGUAGGGGAGACUGGAAUUCCUGGUGUAGCGGUGAAAUGCGCAGAUAUCAGGAGGAACACCGAUGGCGAAGGCAGGUCUCUGGGCAUUAACUGACGCUGAGGAGCGAAAGCAUGGGGAGCGAACAGGAUUAGAUACCCUGGUAGUCCAUGCCGUAAACGUUGGGCACUAGGUGUGGGGGACAUUCCACGUUUUCCGCGCCGUAGCUAACGCAUUAAGUGCCCCGCCUGGGGAGUACGGCCGCAAGGCUAAAACUCAAAGGAAUUGACGGGGGCCCGCACAAGCGGCGGAGCAUGCGGAUUAAUUCGAUGCAACGCGAAGAACCUUACCAAGGCUUGACAUGAACCGGACCGCUGCAGAAAUGUGGUUUCCCCUUUGGGGCUGGUUUUACAGGUGGUGCAUGGUUGUCGUCAGCUCGUGUCGUGAGAUGUUGGGUUAAGUCCCGCAACGAGCGCAACCCUCGUUCUAUGUUGCCAGCACGUGAUGGUGGGGACUCAUAGGAGACUGCCGGGGUCAACUCGGAGGAAGGUGGGGACGACGUCAAAUCAUCAUGCCCCUUAUGUCUUGGGCUUCACGCAUGCUACAAUGGCCGGUACAAAGGGUUGCGAUACUGUGAGGUGGAGCUAAUCCCAAAAAGCCGGUCUCAGUUCGGAUUGGGGUCUGCAACUCGACCCCAUGAAGUCGGAGUCGCUAGUAA
rnacentral:rRNA from 1 species